AAUUAUUUGCGAUAAAUUGAUGAUUACGUGAUAUACGUGCUAAUUCAUGAUAAAUGAUUUGUAUGACUGAUUGGAUAAGGAUAUAUGGAUGAUAAGGAUUGGAAUUGAUUGAUUGGUUGUUGGACAGAAUAGGAUAACAGGUGGAUAGUCCUAUAGAUAGACGAGACGGUGUCGGAUUUUCGACAGGAUUUAUAUGAUUACUAAUUGGUAAUAUGUUAUGUGGAAUAUGACUUGACUAUAUGAUAGAGUCAAAGCAUGAGUAUGUAUUAAGUGUUAUCUGAUAUGUUUAAUGGGAUAGAUAAGUGGG
rnacentral:lncRNA from 1 species